UUGUAACAAUAAAUGAUCGCGCUACAAAAAGAAGCCAACUGAUUUUGUCGCGCGACAUCAGACGUUGCGUUCCGUCGUGUCGCGCCAAGUGCAUUAUCGCGCAACGAAUACCCGAUGAAAUGAGGGUGCAAAUAUAUCCAUCUCACUUAUCACAAGUUUGGCAAACAAUAUUGAAUUGGACCUUUAGAAUUCGGUCCGCAAAAGGAGGUUUUGUAAUACUCCGAUCUUUGAACCUUAGUUCUUUCCAAAUUGGCUUUCGAGCAGAGUAGUUCAGUAGAAGAAAAAGUUGUGUAAAAGGCUGUUGUAAAGGGUUCUGUGAACCCAGACAAGGGAGAAGAAGAAUACCAACUUGCAAAAACUGCUCCAAAUAAGCAAUCAUAGCCAAGUUUGGCAAAGUAAAGUGUGAGGAGAUACAAGUGUUGAGAACAGGUCAAACCUUCGAACGAAGGUUUUUUUUGUGUAGUUCCAGAUUUUGGGCGUUUAAGGAGUUGGAAGUAUCCGAGGUGGGUUUAGAGCGCCUGUCGCGCCUCGCGCCGCGUGGUUCUAACCCGCGCUGCCCAACCUCGUCAGUGUCCGUAGGAGGUAAGCGUCACCAUCUCCGAGCUAUUGGACCCAAUCAAGUGUCAGACGAAGACGGCAGCCAUCGCGCUGCUGUGCCGGUCGUGCUCACCGACCACGUUCGCCGUAAGGAUCCCGAGUCACGAUCCUGAGUUAGUGGCAUCCGUCUACACUAAGAUUGUCUGUGCAUGUUCAUCAGUCCGUAGGGGCACCACGCUAACUGCCCUGAGUAAGUGGACGCAACCGUUCGCAUCGACCAAGCAUCUUUCGUCGUUGACCGAGCUCACCGGUCGGCGGUGGUCCGUAGGGGUGCAUAGUACCGCGCUCUGAGCUAGUGGACCAGCCCGAACGGUUGUCAUCGUUCAGCUCGACUUGGAGUCGAGCAUCCUCGCUGAACCAACUCGCUUCCAUCUGUCAAGCAUUCCUUCCAAGCCUGAGAUCUGCAACCAAGCCUGUAACCGCAAGCAAAGUGCAACUGGAGAAACAAUUCCCUCGGCGGUGUUGGACGAUUCCGAACUCGCAACCGCGGCACACAAGCUAAGUCUGCGUUCCGGCGCGGACACCCGCCACUGGCACGGCCACGCUGGGGGUAGUUCUUCCAACCGCCUGCCGUUCCUCUUCAUCGGAUCGCCACGCCUACCGACUGCACUCCGUGCGGCAAGGAUUGUCGCGUCGCCAGAUCAUCAUGUCGUCAGCAUAACACAGGUUAGACCUUUUUCUUGUUCUCGUACACACUCUAAAAAACAUCCAAACAAAAUCCAAAUGAUUACAUGAAUACAAACCAUUGUUAAACAUGCAUAAAUAUUAUUUUGAUUCAGUCAGUGAGCAAAUAUGACUUAAUGUGAGCGAAGCUCAAUUUGGUAAGUUCAGCUUGGGUUACGGUUUCGUAUGUUUUCGCCAUAAUUGAGGUUUGGUUGAGUUCAGCAUUGUUUAUCUACUUUGGUAUAUGAGUUUGGAUCGCGUCCGCCUUACCUGCCCUGAGACAGCUAACCGGGCAACAGAACGUGUGACUUCGUAACAGUUCCUUCAGAACUGUUGGCGCAUAAACGGAGUCAUUAUUAACAGCAGAAAGGCUGAGGAUUGUGACAGUUGGCUACUUUUAGUAGGUUGGUCAGUUUUAAGUUUCGUGGUCCACUGUUACCUUCCUAGUGUACACUUCACGUUACAUAUUGGCGCCCAACUCCCAAGGCUCAUUUGCAUUCGCUUAAAAUUUAUAGAAAUACUGAAUGGGUUAAGAUUGAAUUAGU